rnacentral:rRNA from 1 species
CGGGAAUAUUGGGCAAUGGGCGAAAGCCUGACCCAGCGACGCCGCGUGAGGGAAGAAGGCCUUCGGGUCGUAAACCUCUGUCAUCGGGGACGAAGGAAGUGACGGUACCCGAGGAGGAAGCCCCUGCUAACUACGUGCCAGCAGCCGCGGUAAUACGUAGGGGGCGAGCGUUGUCCGGAGUUAUUGGGCGUAAAGGGCGUGUAGGCGGCCUGUUAAGUCAGGUGUGAAAUUUCAGGGCUCAACCCUGAAACUGCGUUUGAAACUGGCAGGCUUGAGGACAGGAGAGGGAAGUGGAAUUCCCGGUGUAGCGGUGGAAUGCGUAGAUAUCGGGAGGAACACCAGUGGCGAAGGCGGCUUCCUGGACUGUACCUGACGCUGAGGCGCGAAAGCGUGGGGAGCAAAC